UACGUAGGGUGCAAGCGUUGUCCGGAAUUAUUGGGCGUAAAGAGCUCGUAGGCGGUCUGUCGCGUCGGCUGUGAAAACCCGAGGCUCAACCUCGGGCCUGCAGUCGAUACGGGCAAACUAGAGUACUGCAGGGGAGACUGGAAUUCCUGGUGUAGCGGUGAAAUGCGCAGAUAUCAGGAGGAACACCGGUGGCGAAGGCGGGUCUCUGGGCAGUAACUGACGCUGAGGAGCGAAAGCGUGGGGAGCGAACGGG
rnacentral:rRNA from 1 species